AUGAAUACAGCACUAGAUGCGAAAGUAAUUAUUUUCAAGAAAAAGAGAAGGAAGAAUUACCGAAGAACCAAAGGACAUCGUCAGGAAUUGACCAAGCUAAGGAUAACUAAUAUCGAUGGAGUUGAGAAACCUCAGCCCGAAUUGGUUGAAAAGCCUUCAAAAUCUGCUAAGAAAGAACAGGAAAAGGUUGCAGUUAGUGCUUAA